GGGGGGGGGGGGGGGGGGGGCGGGCGCGGGCAGGGCGGGCGGGGGGGGGGGGCGUGCUCCUGGAUGCAGCGGCGGACGGGUGGGUAAUGCCUAGAAAUCUGCCUGGUAGUGGGGGAUGACGUCCGGAAACGGGCGCUAAUACCGCAUACGUCCUGAGGGAGCAAGGGGGGGAUCUUCGGACCUCACGCUCUCAGAUGAGCCUAGGUCGGAUUAGCUAGUUGGUGGGGUAAAGGCCUACCAAGGCGACGAUCCGUAACUGGUCUGAGAGGAUGAUCAGUCACACUGGAACUGAGACACGGUCCAGACUCCUACGGGAGGCAGCAGUGGGGAAUAUUGGACAAUGGGCGAAAGCCUGAUCCAGCCAUGCCGCGUGUGUGAAGAAGGUCUUCGGAUUGUAAAGCACUUUAAGUUGGGAGGAAGGGCAGUAAGUUAAUACCUUGCUGUUUUGACGUUACCAACAGAAUAAGCACCGGCUAACUUCGUG
rnacentral:rRNA from 1 species